GGAGGAAAAGAAACCAACAGGGAUUGCCCCAGUAACGGCGAGUGAAGCGGCAACAGCUCAAAUUUGAAAUCUGGCCCCUCAAGGUCCGAGUUGUAAUUUGUAGAGGAUGCUUUUGGUGAGGUGCCGCCCGAGUUCCCUGGAACGGGACGCCGCAGAGGGUGAGAGCCCCGUCUGGCUGGCCGCCGAACCUAUGUAAAGCUCCUUCGACGAGUCGAGUAGUUUGGGAAUGCUGCUCAAAAUGGGAGGUAUAUGUCUUCUAAAGCUAAAUAUUGGCCAGAGACCGAUAGCGCACAAGUAGAGUGAUCGAAAGAUGAAAAGCACCUUGAAAAGAGGGUUAAAUAGUACGUGAAAUUGUUGAAAGGGAAGCGCUUGUGACCAGACUUGGGCGCGGCGGAUCAUCCGGGGUUCUCCCCGGUGCACUUCGCCGUGUCCAGGCCAGCAUCAGUUCGUCGCGGGGGAAAAAGGCUUCGGGAACGUGGCUCCUCCGGGAGUGUUAUAGCCCGUUGCAUAAUACCCUGCGGUGGACUGAGGACCGCGCUUCGGCAAGGAUGCUGGCGUAAUGGUCACCAGCGACCCGUCUU
rnacentral:rRNA from 1 species